rnacentral:lncRNA from 1 species
GUGCAGGCCCAUCCCUCUGACCAAGAAGCACUGAAACAUUAAAUAGAAGUACCUGCAGAUUCUUUUUGAGGUUUUAUUUUCUUGCUACAAUUGCAGGCAAAGAUGACUAGAUUUUUCUGAAGCAUACACCUACAGUGGAGAGCCCUGUGUGCAUUUGCCAUUGCUAUGAGCAAUCAGUAUCAGAGUUGACUGAACAGCAGCUUGUGUGGAUGCACCAGGUGUUUUAUGCAUGAACUUGGAGAAUAAGAUACUGAUUGAUCCUAAGACUUUUUUUUUCCAGACAAGUGUUCUGAAAGGGGCAGCUGGGACAGAAAUCUACUUGGGUGAAUCUGAGACACUUGGGUCUCUUUUACUGUCAGAGAGAGAAGAUGGCCUAAUUAACCAUGUAGUUAUUGCCAGCACUAAAGCUGUAUCAUCCAUCUGUGUUCUUGCUGCUGGCUCCUGUAGCACCUUCCCUGCUUUGGUCUUCCCAUCCCUGCCCGGGCUCUUCUGCAGGCAGCUGCUGGUUUGUUCUUUCAGCUUGAUGAACUGCACACAGAGAAGCGGAUCUCCAAGGAAUGAUUUUUUUUGCCCUUUGGAAAUGUGUGUGAAAGGGACAGCAGCAUAUGGACUUGGCAUGCCCCAGGCAUGGCUGUGGGAGCCUGGGAACAUUUCGUGCCUGCAGCAAGUGUAG